CCCCAACUGGCGGGAGCUAGCUCUUUGGUUCCGAGGGCGUUCCUGACUGGACUGCUUUUCCCGGGGCACCACUUUCAUCUGGGGCUGAACCUGAAAUACCUCCAAGGCAUUGGGUCACAUGGUUAUGGAGGCCAAGGAGUCCCAUGACGUGCUGUCUGAAAGCUGCAGGACCAUUGGAGUGGACGGUGUAAAUCCCAGUCCAAGAACAGAAGAAUACAGAUGUGUCUCCUCAAUCAGCCAGGUGGGGAGCAGGUCU